rnacentral:rRNA from 1 species
GAGUUUGAUCAUGGCUCAGGACGAACGCUGGCGGCGUGCCUAAUACAUGCAAGUCGAACGAACGGAUAAAGAGCUUGCUCGUUUUGAAGUUAGUGGCGGACGGGUGAGUAAUACGUGGGUAACCUGCCUCACAGCUGGGGAUAACAUCGAGAAAUCGAUGCUAAUACCGAAUGUGCUGAACAUCAUAAGAUGUUCAAGUGAAAGACGGUUUCGGCUGUCACUGUGAGAUGGACCCGCGCUGGAUUAGCUAGUUGGUAAGGUAAUGGCUUACCAAGGCGACGAUCCAUAGCCGACCUGACGAGGGUGAUCGGCCACAUUGGGACU